AGAGUUUGAUCAUGGCUCAGGACGAACGCUGGCGGCGUGCUUAACACAUGCAAGUCGAACGGUAAGGCCCUUCGGGGUACACGAGUGGCGAACGGGUGAGUAACACGUGGGUAAUCUGCCCUGCACAUCGGGAUAAGCCUGGGAAACUGGGUCUAAUACCGAAUAGGACCACAGAACACAUGUCCUGUGGUGGAAAGCUUUUGCGGUGUGGGAUGGGCCCGCGGCCUAUCAGCUUGUUGGUGGGGUGAUGGCCCACCAAGGCGACGACGGGUAGCCGGCCUGAGAGGGUGUCCGGCCACACUGGGACUGAGAUACGGCCCAGACUCCUACGGGAGGCAGCAGUGGGGAAUAUUGCACAAUGGGCGAAAGCCUGAUGCAGCGACGCCGCGUGGGGGAUGACGGCCUUCGGGUUGUAAACCUCUUUCACCAUCGACGAAGGUUCGGGUUUUCUCGGAUUGACGGUAGGUGGAGAAGAAGCACCGGCCAACUACGUGCCAGCAGCCGCGGUAAUACGUAGGGUGCGAGCGUUGUCCGGAAUUACUGGGCGUAAAGAGCUCGUAGGUGGUUUGUCGCGUUGUUCGUGAAAUCUCACGGCUUAACUGUGAGCGUGCGGGCGAUACGGGCAGACUUGAGUACUGCAGGGGAGACUGGAAUUCCUGGUGUAGCGGUGGAAUGCGCAGAUAUCAGGAGGAACACCGGUGGCGAAGGCGGGUCUCUGGGCAGUAACUGACGCUGAGGAGCGAAAGCGUGGGGAGCGAACAGGAUUAGAUACCCUGGUAGUCCACGCCGUAAACGGUGGGUACUAGGUGUGGGUUUCCUUCCUUGGGAUCCGUGCCGUAGCUAACGCAUUAAGUACCCCGCCUGGGGAGUACGGCCGCAAGGCUAAAACUCAAAGAAAUUGACGGGGGCCCGCACAAGCGGCGGAGCAUGUGGAUUAAUUCGAUGCAACGCGAAGAACCUUACCUGGGUUUGACAUGCACAGGACGCCGGCAGAGAUGUCGGUUCCCUUGUGGCCUGUGUGCAGGUGGUGCAUGGCUGUCGUCAGCUCGUGUCGUGAGAUGUUGGGUUAAGUCCCGCAACGAGCGCAACCCUUGUCUCAUGUUGCCAGCGGGUAAUGCCGGGGACUCGUGAGAGACUGCCGGGGUCAACUCGGAGGAAGGUGGGGAUGACGUCAAGUCAUCAUGCCCCUUAUGUCCAGGGCUUCACACAUGCUACAAUGGCCGGUACAGAGGGCUGCGAUGCCGCGAGGUUAAGCGAAUCCUUUUAAAGCCGGUCUCAGUUCGGAUCGGGGUCUGCAACUCGACCCCGUGAAGUCGGAGUCGCUAGUAAUCGCAGAUCAGCAACGCUGCGGUGAAUACGUUCCCGGGCCUUGUACACACCGCCCGUCACGUCAUGAAAGUCGGUAACACCCGAAGCCAGUGGCCUAACCCUUUGGGAGGGAGCUGUCGAAGGUGGGAUCGGCGAUUGGGACGAAGUCGUAACAAG
rnacentral:rRNA from 1 species